AUUGAACGCUGGCGGCAUGCUUUACACAUGCAAGUCGAACGGUAACAGGCCGCAAGGUGCUGACGAGUGGCGAACGGGUGAGUAAUGCAUCGGAACGUGCCCAGUCGUGGGGGAUAACGCAGCGAAAGUUGCGCUACUACCGCAUACGAUCUAUGGAUGAAAGCGGGGGACCGUAAGGCAUCGCGCGAUUGGAGCGGCCGAUGUCAGAUUAGGUAGUUGGUGGGGUAAAGGUUCACCAAGCCGACGAUCUGUAGCUGGGCUGAGAGGACGGCCAGCCACACUGGGACUGAGACACGGCCCAGACUCCUACGGGAGGCAGCAGUGGGGAAUUUUGGACAAUGGGCGCAAGCCUGAUCCAGCAAUGCCGCGUGCAGGAAGAAGGCCUUCGGGUUGUAAACUGCUUUUGUACGGAACGAAACGGUCCUGGUUAAUACCCGGGGCUAAUGACGGUACCGUAAGAAUAAGCACCGGCUAACUACGUGCCAGCAGCCGCCGUAACAC
rnacentral:rRNA from 1 species